UACGUAGGCAGCGAGCGUUGUUCGGAGUUACUGGGCGUAAAGGGUGUGUAGGCGGUUCUUUAAGUUUGGUGUGAAAUCUCCCGGCUCAACCGGGAGGGUGCGCCGAAUACUGAGGAACUAGAGUACGGGAGAGGAAAGUGGAAUUCCUGGUGUAGCGGUGAAAUGCGUAGAUAUCAGGAGGAACACCGGUGGUGUAGACGGCUUUCUGGACCGUAACUGACGCUGAGUGAGCGAAAGCCAGGGGGAGCAAACGGG
rnacentral:rRNA from 1 species